rnacentral:rRNA from 1 species
CCUACGGGUGGCAGCAGUAGGGAAUUUUGCGCAAUGGGGGAAACCCUGAAGCAGCAAAACCGCGUGAAUGUUAAGGCCUUCGGGGUGUAAAGUUCUGUCAAUCGGAACGACUAUUGAUUGUACCUAUAAAGGAAGCACCGGCUAACUCCGUGCCGGAGGCCGCGAUAAUACGGGGGGUGCAAGCGUUGUCCGGAAUCAGUGGGCUUAAAGCGUUCGUAGGCGGUAUGUCAAGUCUGAUGUUAACGCCCGGGGCUCAACUCCGGUUCGGCAUUUGAUACUGGCAAACUAGAAUUUGGUAGAGGUAAACGGAAUGCCUGGUGUAGCGGUGAAAUGCGUAGAUAUCACGAGGAACUUCGGUGGCGAAAGCGCUUUACUGGACCAUUAUUGACGCUGAGGAACGAAAGCCAGGGGAUCAAACGGGAUUAGAUACCCGGGUAGUC